rnacentral:rRNA from 1 species
CCUACGGGAGGCAGCAGUGGGGAAUAUUGGACAAUGGGCGAAAGCCUGAUCCAGCAAUGCCGCGUGAGUGAUGAAGGCCUUAGGGUUGUAAAGCUCUUUUAACCCGGGAUGAUAAUGACAGUACCGGGAGAAUAAGCUCCGGCUAACUCCGUGCCAGCAGCCGCGGUAAUACGGAGGGAGCUAGCGUUGUUCGGAAUUACUGGGCGUAAAGCGCACGUUAGGCGGCUUUGUAAGUUAGAGGUGAAAGCCUGGAGCUCAACUCCAGAAUUGCCUUUAAGACUGCAUCGCUUGAAUCCAGGAGAGGUGAGUGGAAUUCCGAGUGUAGAGGUGAAAUUCGUAGAUAUUCGGAAGAACACCAGUGGCGAAGGCGGCUCACUGGACUGGUAUUGACGCUGAGGCGCGAAAGCGUGGGGAGCAAACAGGAUUAGAUACCCUGGUAGUCCACGGCCGUAAACGAUGAUAACUAGCUGUCAGGGCUCUUAGAGCUUUGGUGGCGCAGCUUAACGCAUUAAGUUAUCCGCCUGGGGAGUAGGUCGCAAGAUUAAAACGUCAAAAGAGUAAUACGGACGNGNGAGAGACGACGACGACGACGACGGAGGGAGGAGG